rnacentral:rRNA from 1 species
UGGAGAACGCUGGCGGCGUGGAUUAGGCAUGCAAGUCGGACGGUAGGGCUUUAUCGUAAGAUAGAGUUUGAGAGUGGCGAACGGGUGAGUAACACGUAGGUAAUCUACCCUUCAGAGGAGGACAACCUCAGGAAACUGAGGCUAAACCUUCAUACGUUCACUGGUAGGGAUACUGGUGAAGAAAGAGUUACCGUUGAGGUGGCUGCUGAAGGAUGAGCCUGCGGCCCAUCAGGUAGUUGGUGAGGUAACGGCUCACCAAGCCGAAGACGGGUAACCGGUCUGAGAGGAUGUCCGGUCACACUGGGACUGAGACACGGCCCAGACUCCUACGGGAGGCAGCAGCAGGGAAUCUUGGGCAAUGGGCGAAAGCCUGACCCAGCGACGCCGCGUGGAGGAAGAAGUCCUUCGGGGCGUAAACUCCUGGACUGGGGGACGAGUAAGGACGGUACCCCAGUAGAAAGGGACGGCUAACUACGUG